rnacentral:rRNA from 1 species
CCUACGGGAGGCAGCAGUGGGGAAUAUUGGGCAAUGGAGGAAACUCUGACCCAGCGACGCCGCGUGCGGGAUGAAGGCCUUCGGGUUGUAAACCGCUUUCAGCAGGGAAGAAGCGAAAGUGACGGUACCUGCAGAAGAAGCACCGGCUAACUAUGUGCCAGCAGCCGCGGUAAUACAUAGGGUGCAAGCGUUGUCCGGAAUUAUUGGGCGUAAAGAGCUCGUAGGUGGUUCGUCACGUCGGAUGUGAAAAUCUGGGGCUUAACCCCAGACCUGCAUUCGAUACGGGCGAGCUUGAGUAUGGUAGGGGAGUCUGGAAUUCCUGGUGUAGCGGUGGAAUGCGCAGAUAUCAGGAGGAACACCAAUGGCGAAGGCAGGACUCUGGGCCAUUACUGACACUGAGGAGCGAAAGCGUGGGGAGCGAACAGGAUUAGGAUACCCUGGUAGUCCACGCCGUAAACGGUGGGCACUAGUUGUGGGGACCUUCCACGGUCUCUGCGACGCAGCUAACGCAUUAAGUGCCCCGCCUGGGGAGACGAGCGCGAGAAUAAACGUUAAAGUAAGUUAGAGNGUUGAGAGNGCGAGCGACGACGAGGAGAG